rnacentral:rRNA from 1 species
UACGUAGGGUGCGAGCGUUAAUCGGAAUUACUGGGCGUAAAGCGUGCGCAGGCGGUUUUGCAAGCCGGAUGUGAAAUCCCCGGGCUCAACCUGGGAAUGGCAUUCGGGACUGCAAGGCUGGAGUGCGGCAGAGGAGACUGGAAUUCCACGUGUAGCAGUGAAAUGCGUAGAGAUGUGGAGGAACACCGAUGGCGAAGGCAGCCCCCUGGGCCAAUACUGACGCUCAUGCACGAAAGCGUGGGGAGCAAACAGG